rnacentral:lncRNA from 1 species
AGGACACCAUGAUUGGUCAGAUCUCGGUCACAUGACUACCUUAGUUGCCAGGAUGGUCAGGGACUCUGACCAGAAGAAGGGAAAUGGGGAGGACCGUUCAGAGAAGCCGAAACCAGCAGAUACCCAGACCGACAAACAUUGCUGCCAUGUGAGGAAGCAGAUACGUAAGGGCAACUCUGCGUCCCCCACUUCCAGAGAGAGAGAAGUUGCCGUCUUGAAAAAUAAGGCUAUCGGCAGUCUGGGAGCGGGACGCUGUGAGAUGAGGCAAAGAAACCCUGCGGAGACCUGGAAACGAUUUUUCUCUCCCCAAAUAUAAUUAAUCAAUUAUGUCC